CCUACGUGCGGCAGCAGUGAGGAAUAUUGGUCAAUGGGCGCGAGCCUGAACCAGCCAAGUAGCGUGAAGGAUGACUGCCCUACGGGUUGUAAACUUCUUUUAUAAAGGAAUAAAGUGAGGCACGUGUGCCUUUUUGUGUGUACUUUAUGAAUAAGGAUCGGCUAACUCCGUGCCAGCAGCCGCGGUAAUACGGAGGAUCCGAGCGUUAUCCGGAUUUAUUGGGUUUAAAGGGAGCGUAGAUGGGUUGUUAAGUCAGUUGUGAAAGUUUGCGGCUCAACCGUAAAAUUGCAAUUGAUACUGGCAGUCUUGAGUACAGUUGAGGUAGGCGGAAUUCGUGGUGUAGCGGUGAAAUGCUUAGAUAUCGCGAAGAACUCCGAUUGCGAAGGCAGCUUCCUAAACUGCCACUGACAUUGAUGCUCGAAAGUGUGGGUAUCAAACAGGAUUAGAUACCCUUGUAGUC
rnacentral:rRNA from 1 species